UGGGGAAUAUUGGACAAUGGGGGCAACCCUGAUCCAGCAAUUCUGUGUGCACGAUGAAGGUUUUCGGAUUGUAAAGUGCUUUCAGCAGGGAAGAAAAAAAUGACGGUACCUGCAGAAGAAGCGACGGCUAAAUACGUGCCAGCAGCCGCGGUAAUACGUAUGUCGCAAGCGUUAUCCGGAAUUAUUGGGCAUAAAGGGCAUCUAGGCGGCCAGAUAAGUCUGGGGUGAAAACUUGCGGCUCAACCGCAAGCCUGCCCUGGAAACUAUGUGGCUAGAGUACUGGAGAGGUGGACGGAACUGCACGAGUAGAGGUGAAAUUCGUAGAUAUGUGUAGGAAUGCCGAUGAUGAAGAUAGCUCACUGGACGAUAACUGACGCUGAAGUGCGAAAGCUAGGGGAGCGAACAGGAUUAGAUACCCUGGUAGUCCUAGCUGUAAACGAUGAUUACUGGGUGUGGGCAGGAAGACUGUCUGUGCCGAAGCAAAUGCGAUAAGUAAUCCGCCUGGGGAGUACGGCCGCAAGGCUG
rnacentral:rRNA from 1 species